GAUUAGGGCCUGUGUUUCAAGAAUGACUCCAGAGAUUAGAGGCUAGCCCUACUGACCUUGGCUGUGGGUCGGAGCAGUAGAGUGCCAGCCCCCCACCCCUGUUCCUUGCCCCCAGGCAGCUGACCAAACACAGGAGUCAAUACUGGAGCAGGGAGGCUGGGGAGGGCCAGGGAGGAUAUGGAAAGACAGAAAGGAAGAACAGAGCUUGGGACCCAGGGCGUCUGGGGAAGAGAGUGGAUGUAGAGUUUCUGGGAAACCAGAGACAUGGAACUGUGGUACCACCGGGCUCUGGGGAUCUUGCAGAGGACAAGGCCCUGCCCUCACAGAGCAAACCUCUCCUCCCCACACUAGGGGGUAGAUAAACAGUGGCACAGGUAAGGUCUGACCAGAGUGAUGGCCCCUCAGCCCCACAGAGGCCACGAAGGAAGCAUGUGACUAUUGAAGCCUGAGGCAAGAGACGUUGGAGGAGAGAAGAGACUUAGGAGGCCAGAGUCCUAGCUGUCUGCAGACAUGAGACCAGCCCAUAACCGGGGAGAUCAGACGGAGCUCCUGCCCUCCUCCGAGGAGGAGGUUCAGAGUUAACUCUGAAAGCCCACCUCUUCAGCCUUGAGCCUCUCCUUUAAAGCUGGAUGAAUGAAGAGUUCCUGUCUAUGCAUUUCCCAGAGCAAAGGCGGCGUCACAGGAAUGAAAUGUACCCAACUCUUGACUGCACAAGUCUUGUCUUCUGUCUUCCCCAAGCCCAGCCAGUGCAUGUUACAGGCCCUGAGCAAUACUUCCUUGUACUGACGAUUGGAAUAGGUGACAAAUCCUGACAAAUCCGAACUUUCCUGUGUUUGCUCAUUCACUGAUUCACCAUUCAUUCAACAAGCAGGAACUGAGCUCUCACCAUGGAUCAGGCCCUUACCAGACUCCGGGACACAGCUGGAGUAAGGACAGGGCUCUGGCCCCAAGAGUCUCAGGCAUCGUAACUCAGCACCGCUGUUUACAGUCUGUGGUCUUGAAUCUUUAGCAUAUCCUGUGUCCUGACUCUCAUAAAGGACAUUCUGAAGGAAUUCAGAAGUCAUCCACAAGGACAGUGACCCUGGGUGAGGCUCACCAUGUGUCCACAGCUGGAGGACCUGCUGCCUGGAGCUCAUCAGGGCCUGGUGGAAGCAGGAUAGAUAACCAGGCAGGGAAGGGAGUCCCUGAUCCCAGAGUAUGGUUGAAGUCUGCCGCCUCUGAGAGUCAAGAAUUCCAGCACAGAACUCCAUGUGGAGUUUGUCUGUGGAGAGAUGGUGUUCCUUUUCUGUCAAAAUAUUUCAAAUAAGAAUGUUAAAAUAUCAACGAGUCGUGCCCAAGAGUCUACAGGUGUAUGGCCAGUAAUGGUUUACAAGCAAGUGUGGCCAAGUAUGGCCUUUCCCUUUUCCUAGCUGUAACAUGUGAUUUCCUAGGAAUCUCACAAGCUGGACUAUAAACCCCAUUUAUAGUGAAAGGCGUGACUUAGCCCAGGGAGAGCCUUUGUGACCAAGGGUUUCUCCUCGUCAGACAGCAAUCCUGUCCGAAGCACCUGAGGAACCACCCUGUCAUUUCAAGAGAAAGUGGAUAAAAGGCCCUGGGAAGCUGUGAGAUGUGACUUAAGGAGGCACAGAAAUCUUGUAUAAGUCUGCAGGGAAGCUCCUUAAGCAGGACCCAGAUUCACCAGAACAUGGCGUGGCUUACGCCCCCUCUCGGCGUCUCUUCUUCCUCUGACUGCUAUGUCAUUAAAUCUGUGUUACGGGGCUGGUAGAUGGUUCAGUUAUGACUCCUUGCAGGGGAUCUGAGUUCCGUUCCCAGCACCCACUUGGUGGCUCACUGCCGUCUGUAACUGCAGUUCCAGGGGAUCAGACAUCCUUCUCCCUCUUUAUGCGCAGACAAAUAGAAACACGCAAAUCUGUUUUAAAAGAUCUCUUCCUCAUUUCUGCUCUGCCUCACACCGACUUGUCCUGAAAAACUUUUUUUCUUUCCAGACAGGGUUUUUGUACACAGCUCUGGUUGUACUGGAACUUGCACUGCAGAACAGGCUGG
rnacentral:sRNA from 1 species